CUACACCACCUUUCCCACCCAUUUCAUCUUCUUCUUUAACCUUAUCCCCACCAAUUUUCACCUCCAUUUUUCUGGAUUUUUUUUCUAUUUUACAUCGAAAUUUUCUAUUUUUCUUCGUACUCAGAAAUCGAGAAGAAUAGGAUCAAUUCUCACUGGUCUUCAUUCUGUAAGUUUGAUUCUAGAGCGUUUAUAUGUUGACGAAGCUAGAAAUUGGGUGGAUUUCGAGGUCAUUGUCAUCGCAGCUGCACCGUCACGAUGGCAACAACCCUGCCGACGACUUGUAUACGACCAUAACCACGGUGUUCACUACCCCACGUGAACAGCAACACACACACGACAGUGUACUUCGAGAAUUCCUCAAGCAGUAUCACCAAUUGGACAGCAUCAACAAAGAAUUCCCCAAACGGCACUUCGAAAUUAUUAAAAAGUUUGGGGGAAAUCAUUUCUUUCGGAGAAAUGAUGUGGCAAAUUUGAAAAAUCAGAAACUAUGUUUUCCAGACAUGAUUGAAAAUGUGAAUUGGUGAGAAUUGGUGGCGGAGCCAUUUGUCUGGGGUUUGCAUUUGGGGAUGGCGAGUGGGGUAGGCAAGUUGAGGUUGGGGUUUGUGCAG
rnacentral:lncRNA from 1 species